GCCACCAGAUGGCAGCAGAGGGACUGGGGAGACUCAUUUCUGGCGCGGCAUACGGGAAGUAGCGGGGCGCUGUAUGCAGGGCGAUCCCCUCUAUAGGGAAAACUAGCGACUCCUCCCUCCCUCUGCGAGGAAGCAGUGGGGCUGUGCGCGUGCAAAUUACAGGAUGAAAUGGCUGUGUCUGAUAGAGGAGGAAAGGACGGAUCAGAGGGAGCAAAAGGAGGGAAGCCAGCCGUAUCAGCUAGAACACCUGUGUCCAAAGGAGGAUGAGCCCAGUCUCACAGUUGUAGGAUCUAACAAAAAAAGACACUGGUAUCUGAACUACUCAUGGAGUGACUGAAAACAACCCAACACAGAAGACCCUGCCAGGUUUUAAGUGUUUCAGUGGGGAACGAAAAGCUGUCCAGAAGAGCUAAAUAUUAUUGUUUGAAAUGUAUAAUGUUCAUAAAGUGAAAAUAAACUCUGAGGGGGAAAUCCUGGCCCCACUGAAAUCAAAGAAAGUUUUGCCUUUGACUUCAAUGGAUUCCACCCUAAAAAGAAUACCAAGGUGUUUAAAAAAAUGAGAUGCAAAGCCAAGAGAUUAACAUCACUGUGAAACUUAAAACAAACCCCAACACUGGGCAGGCUGGAAAUACUAUAUUAAGGUUUUCUGGAGGCUUUUGCUGUGUCCACCAAGCUGCCUCCCAAAACCCUGAGACCAGCCGGGUCUACAUGUGCCAUGCUGCACCCAGAGCUUUCCAGCAGAGUGCAGGGUGUGAGAAUGGCACAUGGCAGAGAACACGGGAAUCCAGGCGUCAAGCAGGGAUCUCGGUUUCUUUGAAUGAAUUGUUCCUAAUCAGGGCAAUGGGAGUAGCUCGACACCCCCAUACAAUGGUCUGUAUAAAACCACUCUCUAGUCAGAGGGUUUGCUGAGCAGGAAGGAGUUAAAUAGGGACAAGUAAAGAGAAUUGAUGCAACCUGUGUGGGGAGGCGGGGAUUGCUUGGGCCUGGCUGCCCAUGUGACUGUCACCACCAGGGGGCGGUGAGCCUUUGCUAGUUCUGCCUGGUUGGUGUUAGUCGGCAACACCCACGCCAGCUGCCCCACCUUUCCUCUUCCCCAGCUAGCAAGGCAAAAAAACUUUCCCAUUUCCAGCAACUCCAGACAGUGCAGGUCCCAGGCUGGAAACGCGACAAGGGACCCACGCCUGAGAGAGGCUGGGCGCUCAGGGAGGUGUCAGCUCUUGCAGAAUUACAGGUGUUUGAACUCAGGAGCCAAAAUUGCAAUCAGAAGCGUAUCCCAAUGAAGGGAAUGUGCUCUGGAGUGGCUUGCCACCUACAGAAAACAGCUCUCCGUCAGCCCCCACAAGCUAUAGGGCACAGCCGUCUGUCAGCUCCCACAACCUAUAGGGUACAGCCCUCCGUCAGCCCCCACAACCUAUAGGGUACAGUCAUCCGUCAGCCCCCACAACCUACAGAGAACAGUCCUCCGUCAGCCCCCACAUCCUACAAGGCACAGCUCUCUGUCAGCCCCCACAGCCUACAGGGCAUGGCCCUCUGUCAGCCCCUUCUAUGAGCAGCUGCUGCAGAGCUGAGAAAUGGAUGGAAGCAACCAUGAAGCUGGAGAUCCAGUGCUAGGGGCUGCCUGGGCAGCAUGCAAGCCUGAAGUGGGGACUUCCUUGCAGGAGAGCUGCCAAGAUGCAAAUCUAAAGGAGACCAUGGAACUGAGUAAGACAAGGGCAUUGCUUAAAAUGUGGACAGAGGCAAUAACAAUACCAAUGGGAAGGGAGAUCGGCUACUGCAGAAUCUGCUCCCGUGUCCAUGAUGUUGGGCCGUGCUACGUCCUGUCCCCAACCAAUUGUCCCAGCAUGUAUCCCUCUGGGACACUGUGCUCAGUCUCCUCCCACCCCCUGAGCUCGGCUGGAGGGGCCAAGGCUCAGCAUCUCUCCAUCUCAGAGCCCUAGAUACAAGGGAUGUAAUACAUAGUAUAGUCGAUUAACCAAUUAAGCAAUAAGCAAAAGCUUAUAGGUUAAUGCUAUAGACUACACACAUUUCCACUGGCCAGUAAAUUUAGCAGCUCAGCUCAUUCCUGACUAGCGACAGGUCUGGGACCUACCCCGCUGCAGCUCUGCAUUUAAAGUGUAUUAGGAGCCAGGCAGACAAGCAGCCUGGCUCAGUCCUGGCCCGCACCGGAUCCGGGACCUACCCCUGCUGUGGCUCUACAUUUGACGUGUAUUAGGAACCACGUGGGCAGGCAGCCAAGCUCAUUUUCGCCUCACACCAGGUGCAGGAGCUCAGACGUCCCCUAGACAGGGGCUGUUGCCAUCCUGUGCUGCUGCCUCUUUAGCAGAGGCAGCAGCAUUGGGCGACAGGCAGCCAGUCCACAAGGGGAGCUUGGCUCCUCAGGAGCAAGGCCAGAGCGCACCAGCUGCCGGCCCCACCCCCGGGGACUAUAGACUAGUCGACUAACCAAUAAGAAUUCAUGAGGUUACUCGACUGUUCAAUUAACCGAUAUUUAACAUCCCUGCUAGAUACCACGGGCCGGAUGUGCCAUUCCCCUGUUGCCAUCUGCAGGGCUGGUAGAAAUUUGUAGCCUCUUUGCACUGGUGGAAACAGCUGCCCAAUCAGGUGUUUCCCCAGCUCAGUCCUGUAAGUCCAGCUCCCAAAUGGCCAGGGGUCAGCCGGUGCCACCAGACAUCUGUGCUUAAACCCCCACUGCUCCCUUUAGCCCCUGAAGGACACCGUUCUGCACAUGGAAUGCUCAAAGCCUUGCUAGGGACACGGGGAGAGGAAUAGCAGCAGCUGUGCAACACAUCAUAAGAUGCAAUCCUGGUCCCCCUCUCCUUAUCUGCCACUCACCCCUUGCCAGGUGGGUCUGGCAGCCUCACAGGCAGCCAUGAAAGUAAAUUAGCAUUUCUUACAGGGACUGUCCUAUUGCAACCCGGGUUCCUGCCAGCUCUUUAAAUAGCUCCCUGCUGGCUUUUGCCGGUGCUGCACAACAGGGUGCACCCACUUACUUUCACCUCUGCUCUCAGGUAACAUUCAGAGCCACUGCACAGCUUUCUAAAGACAACUCCUUAACCCUGAGCCCCUCCCAGCUCCCCAGAUGACUCCAUAGGUUUCCAAUCCAGAUAUUCUUUCAACGCACUCCCCAAGUCAAAGGAAGGGUAGCCUGAGGCCGGGAGACCCAUGGAAUCACUAGGGCGAUUCCAGUACUUGCACGUUUUUAAAACAAUAAUUUAAAGUAACAUAAUGCGUUGUUGUCAGGCAGGUUUGAGCCACACUGGAUCCACCUCCCCGGCUUAAAACUCAGACAGGAUGAAUCCUCCAGCAUCUCAAAUGCUGGGAAGGUGGGUUUUCUUUGCAAAUCCAGGGCAUUGUUGCAGGCAAAUAGUAAAUACAAACAAUUUUAGUGGGUCACCCCCGGUUAUGUGUCAGGCUCCCUUUGUAACAAGAAUGGUUUGUGCAUGCUCACCCACACACACCUGUGCAUCCCUCACUAUACCUCAUCCCAUCCAGCUACCCUUCCGCUGUGCCGCACCUUACUCCAGGGCAGCUACAGACUAUGGUGCUCUGUAGCAUCAGACAAAGCCCUGGCUGGGUUGACCUAGUUGGGAUUGGUCCUGCCUAGAGCAGGAAGCUGGACUUGAUGACCUCCUGAGGUCUCUUCCAGCUCUAUGGUUCUAUGAUUCUAUGAUCAGUAGCUCACGUCUGGUACAAGCUUCCUAUUGGAGUUCUGACUCACAGCAAAACACCCACCCAGGAGCCCUGCUGAAAGGCAAAUCAGUCUGCUCCCAAAGGACCCCUGGAACCAGGUUCUGUUCUCAGGGUCACACUGUAAAUCAGGGUCACCUGCACUAUUCCCUGUCCCUGCAUAGUCCAAAGGCAACCACACCUCAGGCUAGCCAGGCCUGGCACUGUGGCUGGUCCCUGUGAUCUUGCUCUGGAGCCCCAGAACAGCUCUCUCCAAGCACCCUGGUAGCUCUGCUGUCCUUCAGGGUCAUGCAGGAUGCCCAGACCAAGAGGUAGAGCCCUGCAAAUCCAUGGAUAUCCACUUUAUAUCGGCCACUCAUUUUUGCAGAUGUGGAUACAAAAUUUUGUACCUGUGCAGGGCUCUCCCGAGGGGCAAUGUCUGCUCUGCACAGGGUCUCCCAGGCUGGAACAAUUUGAUCUCUGAGUAAUUUGGAAACCAGCAAUAAACUGGAGAAGAAACUGGUUUGUUCUUCUCAGGUGGCUUAGGAGAGAGAAGCCUGUGGGAUGGGUGUGGAGGCCUCUGAAGUGACUCAGCUUGCACCAGGGCGGCUGUGAAUGGAGGGUGAAGCCAAAAAUCUCAGCCAGUCCUCUUAGGCUUUCAGGCCCAGAUACCUGCCAGUCCAGGGUCCAAAGUCCAACCCAUUCAGGAUCAAAGCAGAGGACAAAUCACACAGCUGACUCAUUCUGCCUGCUUGAAGAAAAGGCCCCAAUGGGUUGGGUGCCUCACCCUCCUCUCUUUUCUCCCCACCACAUGCUGCCUCACCUCACAGCUGCUGUCCUCCCCUCCCCGUAGGCCAUGCCCCUGGGUUCUGCUCUGUGAUGUGCUUUCCAAGCAUUAUGCAAAGCCUGGUGCCACAGCACUGGGAGCGCUGAGGAGGGGAAGGGCAACUCCAUGUCAUGGCAACUCUUUCUGCCGAUGGCAGGGAAAAGGUUGUGGAUUCCCUGCGCCCCCAGCAGAGACCACAGGAGAUUUCCCCGGGGAGAUGAGCAUGAAGGCCUUUGGCCAGGGUAAUACUGGGAGCACCAACGUGUGAGAGUUCACAGACCUUUGUCCAUCUCCCACUAGGGGACUCAGCGCUAGCAAAGGCUUAGCUAGCUCCACAAGGGGAAGGUUUCAAGCGAGCACAGCAGGGCCCGCCCCUCCAGCCUGGCAAAGGGAACCCCUGCAGCCGUCCUGUACAGCAAUGCCAGCCACGUGGCCCCCGAGCUGAUGCUGCUAUUCUCAGGUUCCCCACAUGUUUCAGCUCUCGAUAUUUUUAGAUGCAUCUGCCCUACACACAGGCCUUCUGCUGGGCUCAUGCUCCACGAGGAGACCAUUAUUCCUCCCCUCGGCAAACAAACGCAACCCACGGGCUGUGAAACAAACCACUGCGCCUGAGUCUUGUUGGGGCUUUGCAAAGGUGCCCUCCAGCUGCAGCUCCCUAGCUCCCCACACACGCACUGGGGCAUGCUGCAGUCCCUCUGCCUCACAGGAAAGGUGACAAAGUCUCAGCCCCUAAAUCCUGGCCUCCAGCCCUGCUCCUUUGCCCGCCUGUUGCACAUGUCAGACAUUUCAGCUCCUCCUCCCACACAUCCCAGCCCCUACAGAACCACACAAGGGACUGCCUUUAUUUCCAUGCUGGGCUGUGAAUACUCAGCUUCUGAAGAAUCCUCUUGUGUCCCAUGCAAAAGGAAGGGUCCCAAGCAAACCAACAGCAGCCAGGCAGCUGGGGUGCUAAGCCCAUUGCGUGUACUGACCCAGGCUGUUCCCCUAUUGGUCUGCCCCCUGCACCACUUCGUAUUCAGGUUUGAGCUCUGUCGGGAAGGGACCGUCCUUGGCCCGUGUUCAUCCAGUGCCUAACAAUGGCGGGGGGAGGCUGGCUCCAAGUGCCUCCA